AGAAGAGUCUGGGUUGGGAAGGAAUCUGAAGUGAAGCCCGUUCCCCAGGCAUUCCGAUUGGGGGAGGGAAGGAGGGCACUGAGGGGAAGGCUGGGUGGGUCCCAGCCCCCUGAGACGUGAGCAGCCUCCAUUCUAAAUGAUGUGGAAGAGCCGGCAACCCAGACACAGCUGCUCUGCAAGCCCAUCUGCCCAGCUCAGGGCUCAACCUCAGGACACGCCCACUCCUCCUGGUCCAAACGAGGAUGGAGCCCCUCGAGCCUGUGCUCAUGGGCACUGUCUCACUCCAUCCGAGCACUGCUUAAAACACACUGGAUAAAUGCGGAUGGCUGUCAGACGCUUUUAAUGAGGAAAUAUUAGAGGAAUAUUAGAGGAAUAAUGAGGAAAUGAUAGAAAAAUCAGAGACUGUGUUUUUUUAAUCUACAGAAUCUAUUGGCCUAGAUUUGCCAGACAUUCAUUUAGAAACAAUAAAAAUAACUGUAAGGGUGUCUACAUGACCUGCAGAGCCUAAAACAUUUCGUAUCUGGUCUUUUACAGAAAAAUGUUGCCAACCCUCGCCCUCCCAGCCGCCAGAAUUUGGAUUAAAAGAGACUAAAACGAUGUGACAAUGAAAUGCAAUGUGUGAGCCUGUCUCGAAUUGGAUCCUAGACCAGAAAAAGGACAUUUGAAGGGAAACUGGUGCAAUUUGAAAGGGACCUGCAGAUUAGACAAUAGAGUGCCUCAAGGGAGGGAAAGUUUCUUAUGGUCAUCUCACAACAAUCGUUGUCCCUCCAAUAGGGAAUUCCGCCAAAGUCUGCUCCGCAAAGCACGAGCAAAUGUUCAGGGUCUGGAGACAGUAGAUUGCUCCAGGAGAAAUAUGAAGGAGCCACCGUGAUUCCAUAUCUGCCUGGGAACUCUUUUAAGCUGCUGAGGUCAGAAGAGAUUUGCAAAGCCCUCCAAGAGACUUUACCGAAAGACAUCGUGUGCUGGGGGUUAAUGUUUUUCUUCAUUAGUUGUGUUUGUAGCUUCUUGAAAUUAUUGUAUAUGGACUGGCACCCGCCUCAGCCUCCAGUCAUCAGCACAACUGCAUCGGGGGAUGGCCUCCUGGCUUCAUCUAUCAAACAAGCCACUGUCUGCAGACGUUCUGGGAUUUGUUGUAUUUGGGGUUAAACGGGGGAGGAGGGAAAAUUAACGGGUUUCUAUAAAGAAUCACUUCUCUGGUUCUCGUUAAAGCUCUGAGGGUCACAGGAAAUCUCUGGUUUCAAACAACUGUAUGUGGCGUGAUCCUGUUUACUUGAAAUGUCUAGCUGAGACCUAGCUUUGCCACAUUAAUACUAAAUAAGUAAUAUCCACAGAAGCUACUUUUUGGUCCUCUUUGCCAAAAAUCUUGAGGAAGGGGUCCAGCACAGAAGCCUUACAUGCAUGUUUCAUAUAGAAGCCACAGGGUCAGUGGAAACUAGGCUUCCUUAUUUUUUUUUUAAGCUGUUUCAUGACAGAUAAAACUCAGCUGGUAAGCCAAUCCAUACCAAAUGACCCACCAGGGCCACCGUACUUGUUACCACCCAAGAGGUAGUUCCAUGAACUUCAUAUUUAUUCUCUUUCUAUCUAAACUCCCUCUCUGAAAUGGAUCCAAUGGGCGUACUUACCUGAGGUGUAAAUGGUUGGUAAGUAGAGUUGCCAGAUUUCGCACAUAAAAUACAAACUCCACAGUUGAAUUUGUAUUUGAGACAAAUGAUGAAUAAUUUUAAGUAUAGUAUGUCCUGUGCAAUGUUUGAAACAUACGUAAGCUAAUUUAUUACUUGUUGUUUAUCUGAAAUUGAAAUUUCGUUGGGCAUCUUGUAUUUUAUCUGGCAGCCCUACUGCUAAGGCCCAAUGUGCUACCUUUUAAAGGAACUUGAUGUCUAACAGGAGACAAUAAUAGCCAACGUUGUGAUUAGGAAGGAGGGCUUAUGGGCCUGGGAGAGUUCCCCAGAUAAGAGGAGCUUCCUCACCUAAGAAUUUGCUUCGUGUCAGAAGGGGCAGCUUAUCUGGCCAUCUGGUCCCUAAACAAACUCUGUGUCGUGGCCUGUGAGGAUGGUGGCAUUGCUGGGUGCCCACUGCUUUACAGUCAUGAUGAGGGGGAUAUUAUCAUCCGCUUUUACAAAAGGGUAAACUGAGUGCAGGGAGGUUAGAAACGUGUCCAGUUCACCCCAUGGGAAGCGGUCACCUGAGUGGUUGGGGACCAACGUGGGAGAGAGGGAACGUUACCUUAAGCUGCUGCCCUGGGCACGGAGAGACACAGAUGGACAGCAAGGAUGCAGAGGGAUGCCUGGUGUUCCCGACACUUCGUGGAUGGUCCCAGCGAAAGGAGGCUUGUGCAAAGUGUUUUAUGAUGCUUAUGCAUCCGGGAAGCUUCAGGGACAAAGUGAUUUUGGAGAAAAUCAGUUAAAGAUUUUUAAAGAGGGGAUUUAAUUGGAGGGAGGCAGAAGAGGUGCCAACUUGAUUUCUGAAAAUUGUAAUCCCUACUGCUCUCAGAGCCACUGCCUGGUACGGAAAGUGUAUCUUCUCCCACUGGCUUUGCACACCAUUUAACAGGAAAUUCAAGUCGAAAUAUCAGGGGGAAAAAAAGCCUCCUAGCCUUAUUACUAGAAGAAGACCCCUCCCUCCCACCAUUUGUAAUAGAACCCUCUUCAGGACGAGGCCUCCGGAAUUGCUGUUUAUCUCUUAUUCGUGCUCUAAUAAAAUCAAUA
rnacentral:lncRNA from 10 species